UCCGCUUCUCUUGGCCCCGCCUCCCCGCCACAGUUCGCUCGAGCUGCUUGCCGCGAGCGGCCCCGCCUUUCUCCCCAGCGGCUUGAGUGGGAGGCGGUUGUCCCUCAGAGUAGUGGAGGGAAGAGACUGAGAGAGCGAGCGCGCGCGCGUGCGAGAGCCUCGAGGAGAUUCCUCCUCUGCCCGCCUUCCCGGCUAACGAUGCAGUUUAUGUUGCUUUUUAGUCGUCAGGGGAAGCUGAGACUUCAGAAGUGGUAUGUCCCAUUAUCUGACAAAGAAAAGAAGAAAAUCACAAGAGAACUUGUUCAAACAGUCUUGGCCCGUAAACCGAAAAUGUGCAGCUUUCUGGAAUGGAGAGAUCUGAAGAUUGUAUACAAAAGAUAUGCAAGCCUCUAUUUCUGCUGUGCCAUUGAAGAUCAGGAUAAUGAGCUAAUAACCCUGGAAAUAAUUCAUCGUUAUGUUGAACUGCUUGAUAAGUAUUUUGGAAGUGUAUGUGAACUUGAUACCAUUUUCAAUUUUGAGAAGGCUUACUUUAUUUUGGAUGAGUUUCUCUUGGGAGGAGAAGUUCAGGAGACUUCCAAGAAAAAUGUUCUUAAAGCCAUUGAACAGGCAGAUCUAUUACAGGAGAGCCAGAAUGAAGACUGGGGAGGUUUGUCUGAGGAUAUCUUAUGAUUAAGAGCACUCUAAAGCCUUAGCGUUUUGAUCCCCAUCUGUAUGAUUGGAUGCUAAAGAAGCAGAGACCCCUCGUAGUGUACUUGAAGAAAUUGGACUGACAUAAACCUACUCCUUUCCUGAUGUCUUGCGUGGUGUUUCUCAUAACUGUAAAUGUUCACUGCCUCCAUUUAAUGUUAGCUGAUGGUGUUUUGAUGCUAUUUGUCAGUAUUACUGUUCUGCUAAGCUACUUCAUUCAGACCUACAAGAAAAAAAUCCAUUUAUUAUAAAAUUGAAAAAGGGAACAGAAUUUUUAACUUUCCAGGAAAAAAACUAAAAGGGAUUUUGCGGUGAUUUUGGCCACAUUAACUUAAAGUGACUCAUGACUUUCAGUAAUAUUUUGUUAAUUUUUUUGCCAUCACAUAAUGUAUCAAAUGCUAGAGGUUAUGAAUUAUUCAGAAAAAGUUACACAUUGUAACAAAGUGAUAUGUGUUAACAUAGAACUUGGCUUUGUGUAACCAAAGACUUUUAUUAUACUGGAGUCAGCAUUUGGUAAAUCUCACUUUAAGUUACUGCUUAAGAUUUGUGGGAAAAUAAUUAUUUGCAGCUGUUUUAUUUAUACCAAAGAAUCCUAUUAAGGUCAAUAGAAUCAAACUGUUGUGACCUGUUAUGAUAGCUUCAUUUCUAGCAACUGGGUUAUGACUAGAAUUUCAUUUUACUGAGGCUGUAAAUUCAGUCAGACAUCUGGAUUAAUGUCCUACAAGGGGAACACAAGCCACAUAAAAAUUCAUUUUAAAAACUUUUUUACUACUUUAAAUAUUUUCUUGAUUGUACACUUGGUAUUUUCAGAAGUCUAAAACAAUGUUUGUUCAAAAGUAUUGGGAUAGUGACAUAAUUGCAAAGGGAAACAUACAAAAAGGGAAUCUUGUAAAACUUUACCUAACUUUUUUACCAGUAUAAUACAGUGUACUUUUAAAUGAUAACCUGAGCAGCUACUAGGAUCAGCUGUGGUUACUCAUCAAAUUUAAUUUUCUCUUACACAAGCUUAGGUUUAGUUAUAACUCUGUAUCUUUAUACCUGGGUGAAAAACUGGGUCCUUCCAGAUACUAAAUCAGUAUGACCAAUGGUAAAGGAUUACAGGAGUAGUAGUCCUAACACAUCUAGAAGGCCACUGGAGCCCACCUCUGCUCCACUUGGUACAAUCAAGCCUUAAACUAGAAAUUUCCUUUGAAACACUGCCAUGAUUUCACUUAGGCUGUGUAACACUGUAUAUUUUGGUUGGUAAUGAUUCCCAUAGAACAAAAUAGGAGUAACUUACAAAUAAAGCAUGCAUAGGAUCAGGCUGCAUAGGUAUCACAAAGCCAUAUCGGUCAAAAUCCUGUUAGGGAAGACCUAUGUGCAUAGGGUUGCACAAAUUUUUGAUUUCUGCUUGUCAUCCCUUGCAUAAGCUGCGCCACUAACUUGAGGAAACUGAGGAGCACACUGCUUGCUUGGCAGUCCAGGAAUGCUCAUCAGCAGGAUUUUCUGCUUGGACUGUGCAGGACCAAUAGGAUUUUGGCCAUUCAGUUUACUGUAACUUACUAUUUGUUGUAUGCGUAGUAUUAUGUUCUAAGAGAACCUCAGUAACAGAGCUCUUGCUCUUUAAACCAGUGUGACCUCCCUUGCAUAUAUUAUAAAACAUGCACACUUUCACUUCUCAACUUUUAAGAUAAGCUUAUUGUGAAGUUCUACUCCUACAGAUCCAAUUGCUUUAACUAAUGUGUUCUGAAGUAUUCAGAUGCUUUACUAUAAAACAGUGCCACGUGUUUGAAAGAUGGUUGCUUUAUGCCAUAUCCUGGCCACAACAGAUGCAUUAUGAAAAUAAUUAUGCUUGUAUAAAAUAUACAGGAAUAGCUUUGUUGUACAUUUCAUUGACAGAGACCUGGAGUAAUGAAUUUCAAUAGACAACAGAGUGGCUCUUCGACACUGAAAUGACAGAAUUAUCUUGACACUUAAACAAUGUUUAAACCAAUUUUUGUUUGCAUUCAGACCACAUUAAGGUAUAAACUGUUGCCUUGUAUGUGCUUGGUUGAAAAAGCUUUGUGAUUGUGACAUAAGCUGUGUGGACACUGUCUUAAGUAUCACACCAGUUUAGUUGUAAUAAAUGUCCAUUUUUACUCCA